UACAGAGGUGGCAAGCGUUGUUCGGAAUUACUGGGCGUAAAGGGCGCGUAGGCGGUCUUUCAAGUCCCGUGUGAAAUCCCUCGGCUCAACUGAGGAACUGCACGGGAAACUGUCUGGCUUGAGUUCGGGAGAGGGAAGCGGAAUUCCGGGUGUAGCGGUGAAAUGCGUAGAUAUCAGGAGGAACACCGAUGGCGAAGGCAGGUCUCUGGGCAUUAACUGACGCUGAGGAGCGAAAGCAUGGGGAGCGAACAGG
rnacentral:rRNA from 1 species